UACAGAGGGUGCAAGCGUUGUUCGGAAUUACUGGGCGUAAAGCGUGCGUAGUCGGUAUUGAGAGUCGCGGGUGAAAUCCCAGGGCUUAACCCUGGAACUGCCUGCGAGACCUCAGUACUAGAGUGUGAGAGGGGAUAGUGGAAUACCCAGUGUAGCGGUGAAAUGCGUAGAGAUUGGGUGGAACACCGGUGGCGAAGGCGGCUAUCUGGCUCACAACUGACGAUCAGGCACGAAAGCGUGGGGAGCAAACAGGAUUAGAUACCC
rnacentral:rRNA from 1 species